CGGGGCGCAGCGGUACCUGGGCCGCCCGGGAGCCGGGGGUGGGCUCUCGGGGGACAGCCGGCAGCCCCCCCAGAUCUGCACCACCAGCCGCCGGGAGCUCGGGGCUCCGGGCGUAGAGGCUGCGCUGUCACAUGGGCGGCGGCGACGGGGCCGCAUUUAAGCGGCCGGGGGACGGCGCCCGCCUCCAGCGCGUCCUCGGGCUUGGCUCCCGCCGGGUGCCCAGCUCUCUGCCCGCCGGGGGCCCCGCGCCGCGCCGCACCGUGCCGCCCCCGCCGGGCCAUGCGAGCGCGGGCCCCGCCGCGAUGAGCUCGCACAUCGCCAAAAGCGAGUCCAAGACGUCGCUGCUGAAGGCGGCGGCGGCGGCGGCGGGCGGGGGCAGCCGGGCUCCCCGCCACGGCCCUGCCCGGGAGCCGGGGCUGCCCAGCCGCCGGCUGCUCGGCACCUGCCCGAGCACGCCGCCGUCGUCCGGGGACCCCAGUUCGCGGAGGCCCCUGUGCCGGCCGGCGCCGCGGGAGGAGGGCGCGCGGGGGAGCCGCCGCGGGCUCCCCCAGGCGCACUGCAGGCCCCGGGAGGCGCUGCCGGCCGCGGUGUCCCGACCUUCGCCGCCGUCGCCGCUGCCGCCCGCCCGCGGGCGGGAUGGGGAGGAACGGGGUCUGUCCCCGGCGCUCGGCCUCCGGGGCUCUCUGCGAGCCCGGGGUCGUGGGGACUCCGCUCCAGCCGCCGCGUCCGAGGCGGACCCGUUCCUCCACCGGCUGCGCCCCAUGCUCAGCUCCGCCUUCGGCCAGGUAAGGGCCGCGCCUCCCGCUCGCGCUCCCGGGAAAGGCGCUCGGGACCCUGCCGAGCGGGCUGUGCGUCCACAGCCAGCCCUCCUGCUGCUGCCGGCGGCCCCCUGCGGGUCACGCCGCGGCUCACCUCGUCCUCCCCCAGCCCGGCGCCCUUGCCGGCACCACUCCUCCCCCGUGCCUGAUUCAGCACCCCGUGCGCUGUCCACGCUCCGGGCCUCUUCGGGACGAGGCCCCACGCCUAGCCACCCUCGCACCUGCUGGAACCGGCCAGUCCUGGAAGGGAGCGACCUCCACAAGCCUCCCGGAGACUUGCGGGGGUCGAAAAGGGAUGCUCGAAGCAGGUGGCGCCAAACCCACUCCUCUGGCCUCUGGCCAGGACCGCCAGGGAGCAGCCCAACAGAACAAGGGGUUUGGAGUCUGGAGAUCAAGAGAGGGGACUCAGAGCACACAGACUUGCAGGGGGAUGAGGGGCCCUAG